rnacentral:lncRNA from 1 species
UUUGGGGUUUCAAAACAUCAAUUUUUUUUUGCCGUAUUUUAUUUCUUAUACAAUUGUAAUGCAUACCAUUGAGGAUUCUUUGUAUAGAUGAUUCUUUGUAUAGAUGAUCAUAACCAUGAAAUAACAAAUUUCAAAACGAAUUGAAAGUAUUCCCUUUACCGUUCAUUAAAGUGUAUAAGUGUUUCUCUUACGUUGUGGGGAUUUCGUUCAUACAAUUGGAAAAGUGUUUAUUAUAGGGUAAGGAACAAAUGUUUGACUUCAUAAUCAGUCUAAGACACUUAAUAAGGGUUAUAUAAGUGUUAUUCAAACCGCAAAACGUUGUUUUCGAUUUAAAAACCCUAUUUCCUCAGAAUAUUCCGAGGGAAUUCCGAGGAAACCCUUAUCUUCCUCGGAAUAUUCCGAGGAAAUUCUGAGGAAC